rnacentral:rRNA from 1 species
CCUACGGGGGGCUGCAGUAAGGAAUAUUCCGCAAUGGGCGAAAGCCUGACGGAGCGACGCCGCGUGAAGGAUGAAGUCCUUCGGGAUGUAAACUUCAAUAGUUUGUCAGGAAGUGAGGCGACCUAAUACGUCGCCGAGUUGACCAGCGAACGAAAGGGACGGCUAACUCCGUGCCAGCAGCCGCGGUAAGACGGAGGUCCCUAGCGUUGUUCGGAAUUACUGGGCUUAAAGCGCGUGUAGGCGGAACGGUGAGUACCUUGUGAAAUCCCCGGUCUCAAGCCGGGAACUGCUCGGUAUACUAUCGUUCUUGAGGCAGGUAGGGGUCACUGGAACCUUAGGUGGAGCGGUGAAAUGCGUAGAUAUCUAAGGGAACGCCUGUGGCGAAAGCGGGUGACUGGGCCUGUCCUGACGCUGAGACGCGAAAGCGUGGGGAGCAAACGGGCUUAGAUACCCCGGUAGUC